GGAAUCUUCCACAAUGGGCGAAAGCCUGAUGGAGCAACGCCGCGUGGGUGAAGAAGGUCUUCGGAUCGUAAAACCCUGUUGUUAGAGAAGAAAGUGCGUGAGAGUAACUGUUCACGUUUCGACGGUAUCUAACCAGAAAGCCACGGCUAACUACGUGCCAGCAGCCGCGGUAAUACGUAGGUGGCAAGCGUUAUCCGGAUUUAUUGGGCGUAAAGGGAACGCAGGCGGUCUUUUAAGUCUGAUGUGAAAGCCUUCGGCUUAACCGGAGUAGUGCAUUGGAAACUGGGAGACUUGAGUGUAGAAGAGGAGAGUGGAACUCCAUGUGUAGCGGUGAAAUGCGUAGAUAUAUGGAAGAACACCAGUGGCGAAAGCGGCUCUCUGGUCUGUAACUGACGCUGAGAUUCGAAAGCGUGGGUAGCAAACAGGA
rnacentral:misc_RNA from 1 species